CUACGGGGUGCUGCAGUGGGGAAUAUUGCACAAUGGGCGCAAGCCUGAUGCAGCCAUGCCGCGUGUAUGAAGAAGGCCUUCGGGUUGUAAAGUACUUUCAGCGGGGAGGAAGGGAGUAAAGUUAAUACCUUUGCUCAUUGACGUUACCCGCAGAAGAGGCACCGGCUAACUCCGUGCCAGCAGCCGCGGUAAUACGGAGGGUGCAAGCGGUAAUCGGAAUUACUGGGCGUAAAGCGCACGCAGGCGGUUUGUUAAGUCAGAUGUGAAAUCCCCGGGCUCAACCUGGGAACUGCAUCUGAUACUGGCAAGCUUGAGUCUCGUAGAGGGGGGUAGAAUUCCAGGUGUAGCGGUGAUAUGCGUAGAGAUCUGGAGGAAUACCGGUGGCGAAGGCGGCCCUCUGGACGAAGACUGACGCUCAGGUGCGAAAGCGUGGGGAGCAAACAGGAUUAGAUACCCUGGUAGUC
rnacentral:rRNA from 1 species